rnacentral:tRNA from 1 species
GGAGAGGUGGCAGAGCGGUUGAAUGCACCGGUCUUGAAAACCGGCAGGGGCGCAAGCCCCUCGUGAGUUCGAAUCUCACCCUCUCCGCCA